UACGGAGGGUGCGAGCGUUGUCCGGAAUCACUGGGCGUAAAGGGCGCGUAGGCGGCGAGGAUAGUCAACGGUGAAAGCUUGGGGCUCAACCCCGAGUCGGCCGUCGAUACUUCCUUGCUUGAGCACUGUAGAGGCAGAUGGAAUUCCGGGUGUAGCGGUGGAAUGCGUAGAGAUCCGGAAGAACACCAGUGGCGAAGGCGGCUACCUGGCCCACUCUUGACGCUGAGGCGCGAAAGCUAGGGGAGCAAACGGG
rnacentral:rRNA from 1 species